UCGCAACAUUGGAAUCUCCUUGUAGUUUGGUACACCGGAUUCGCCUUCUAAAUUUUAUUUCCGAUUUUAUCCUCGUGCGCGCCCUUCAAAACCCUAAUCUUGGAACUCUACUGCACUCUCGACUCGAAUCUCUCGGCGCUAUCUUACCUACGGAAGAAUGAGUCGAUCAAGCAGAACCCUCUAUAUUGGCAACCUUCCCGGUGACAUUCGUGAGAGGGAAGUGGAAGAUUUGUUUUACAAGUAUGGACCAAUUGCACAUAUUGAUCUGAAAAUUCCUCCUAGGCCUCCCGGUUAUGCUUUUGUUGAGUUUGAAGAGGCUCGUGACGCUGAAGAUGCUAUUCGUGGGCGUGAUGGCUAUGACUUCGAUGGGCACCGGCUGCGGGUGGAGCUUGCACAUGGUGGGCGUGGUCACUCAUCAUCAACGGAUCGUUUAAGUGGUAAUAGUGGUAGUCGAGGUCCUCGUGGUGGGGUGUCUAGGCGCUCCGAGUAUAGGGUGGUAGUCACUGGAUUGCCCAAUUCAGCUUCAUGGCAAGAUUUGAAAGAUCACAUGCGUCGAGCGGGGGAUGUGUGCUUCUCCCAAGUUUUUCACGAGGGAAGUGGAAAGACAGGGAUGGUGGACUAUACAAAUUAUGAUGACAUGAAAUAUGCUAUAAAGAAGCUCGAUGAUUCUGAGUUUCGAAAUGCUUUCUCACGGGCCGUAGUUCGGGUUAAGGAAUAUGACGGAAGCCGCUCCAGAAGUCGAAGCCGCAGCCGCUCUCGCUCAAGAGGAAGAAGCAAUGGUCGCAGCCAGAGCCGAAGUCGUAGCAGGAGCAAAAGCAAGUCGCCCAAGGGCAAAUCUUCACUCCGUUCAAGAUCUCGUUCUAGGUCUGUGUCUUCGCAGUCUCACUCUGGGUUGAAAGCACGCUCUGUAUCUAGAUAUGAUUGUAUGCGCAAUUCGGGAAUUGCAUAUUAGGAUCUUGGUGGGAUAUGAUUCAAUUGCCUACAAAUCUUUUUGUAGUGGAGGUAUGAUGUUUUAUAGAUGGCAGCUUUGGAUACUUAAUGGUAUCUGUGUUCUAAUGAGCAUCGCAAAUGUCCAUGGGUGCUAGAUUGGGAACAAAGAAAAUCUUGGAUUGCGAGUGAAGGACGGUGAAUUGCCCUUUGAACAUGGAAACACCCUCUAUUUGUGGUGGAAACAUUUUCAUUGUUGCCAAUGCUGUUAAGCUACCAAAGCAUACUAUACAAGUUCUUUAUUGGUUCUUUUGGCAUCUUUAUCAGUCUUUUAAAGAGCAUCUGUUAGGUUUAUAUUUAAGGUUCUGUUUCUUUUUUAUUUAGUUUCAUUAUUUAGGUGAUUUUGCUCCCUUUUUUAAUAUUCACUCAUGCAAAUUGCUAAAUGUUUGCGAGUUUCCUCAUCCAUUUUGGUCAUGGUGACUCUGACGUGGAUGUGGCAUCAAGGCUUAUGGAUCAAAGUUGUUAAAAGAGGCAUGAGUGGAUAUUAAAAUUGCGUUGUUUCUGGAACUUUUGCAGAUCUCCAUCAAGAUCCAGAUCCCCAACACCAUCUCGCCAGAAAAGGGUUGGUAAAAGUCCAACUAGACGCAGUUCCAGUAGAAGCCAAAGCAGAAGCAAGAGUCCCAGCCGAAGUCGAAGCAGGAGUCUCUCUAGGUAACAAAUGGCUGUGGUUUGAUACAAUGAAUCCCGAUGUUCUGAGUGAGAAAGUAUCUUCAUUCCUAGCAAGGUUUUCAUGAGAGUCUGUUACAUGUUAUGAGCAGAUUGGAAUCAUCGUUUGUGUGUCAUGUUUCACGAACAAAUUUCUGGAAUUCUUGAGGCACCGUUGUUUUGUCUCAUGUAUGAUUUGUAUUUCAUGAGGAAUCUUAUGAAGGCUUUAAAAAUAUUUAGAAUUGCAAUCCUGCAGUUAUUAUUUGUCGAGCUAUAUUGGUUUCUCGGUUAUAUUGUCGAUUGCACUUGUUAUCGUUGACUUU